rnacentral:lncRNA from 1 species
UUUUCUUAUGUUUUAUGACAUGCUGAUCAUUUUUCCCUUCUAUGGUAACAUCAAAUUCUCACUCUAACAUGUACUUAUGACUAUUAGGUAUUUUUACCGAUUAAGCCAUUUUGCUCGUUUUCACUUAAAACCGAGUAGUACAAGUUUUCUAACAUAAUUUAAAACCUCAUAUUCUAUCAUAAAACACCAAAAUACACAAAUUUCACCUAUGGGUAUUUUUCCAAAUAUGAACCCUAGGUUGAAUUAUUGCUAGCAUAAGCUUAAUCGAGCUACCGGGACUCCAAAAACGUAAAAAUCAUUAAAAAUGAGGCUAGAACGGACUUACAAUCGAGCUUGGAAGCUUGAAAAAC